CCUACGGGAGGCAGCAGUCGAGAAUCAUUCACAAUGGGGGAAACCCUGAUGGUGCGACGCCGCGUGGGGGAAUGAAGGUCUUCGGAUUGUAAACCCCUGUCAUGUGGGAGCAAAUUAAAAAGAUAGUACCACAAGAGGAAGAGACGGCUAACUCUGUGCCAGCAGCCGCGGUAAUACAGAGGUCUCAAGCGUUGUUCGGAAUCACUGGGCGUAAAGCGUGCGUAGGCUGUUUCGUAAGUCGUGUGUGAAAGGCGCGGGCUCAACCCGCGGACGGCACAUGAUACUGCGAGACUAGAGUAAGGGAGGGGGAACCGGAAUUCUCGGUGUAGCAGUGAAAUGCGUAGAUAUCGAGAGGAAUACUCGUGGCGAAGGCGGGUUCCUGGACAUUAACUGACGCUGAGGCACGAAGGCCAGGGGAGCGAAAGGGAUUAGAUACCCCAGUAGUC
rnacentral:rRNA from 1 species